GCAGCCAGCCGGGGCUGUCCCUGCGUGGCUGCGUGACACCAGCGCAGAUGUCCCAGCACGGGAAGGGGAAUUCAGACUCUGCUUCUUGCUGUACUAAAAGCAGUGACACGGUGGUGGCCCCAGAAGAACACAGGGCCACGAGGCUGGCAGCAUCGGAGCCACAUCACGCUGAUAGCAGCUUGGGAGCAUCAGGACGCUGCAGCCUUCCAGGUCCCUGCGCACCCGGGACACAUUUCCUAUCUGGUGGAGAUGGACAGGGGAAGCUGCUCUGCUCACUGCCAGCCCUGCCUACAGCCGAGGUGGAGACCUGGCAGAGACAUGGUGCUCUUGGCUGCUCAGUAGUCGGUGUAGGAUCUGUCUGUCAGUCUCACUAACAGCUACAUCUGAUUACUGGGUCACCAAAGGGUGACCACACUGCACCUGCAGGAGAUGCCCUCUGAUCCGCUGGGUAUGGGACAACUGAGGCUUUCUGGGAGUGUGGUGGGAGCAGAGGGGAGCCCUGAUCUUGAGCAAUGCCACGGGGCUUUGGCUGCCCAGGAGAGCAAAUGCAAGAGCUUUCCAGUCACCAGAGAGUAGAUAAACCCUUGUGGAGUGCA